UUAUUUGCUGAGGUGGGGCCCACACAUCGAGAUUUUUUUGGGACAUCUGAAAAGUCAUAUGAAUCACAUAUGUGAAGUUAAACACAACUCAAGAAGGACCCUUGGGCCAAAUCAAAGUGGAAGUCCUCCAAACGAAUAUUUUUAAGAAAACGUUUUCGGGUGAUCUGACUUCUAGGGGCAAAAACGGUAUUAUAAGUUUGGAAUUUGGAAAAUACCAAGAAAUAGAAGUUGUAGAUAAUUGAAUUAGCUUUCCAACCAUAGGUCGUGGGUUCCCAGGUGACAUCGGUACAAGGAGAUAUGGACGUUUUAAGGUCGAAAGGUCAGUGGGCUAGGCCCAACUCGGGAUCAACCGAGUUGGCCCAAAAAAAUAAAAAACGAAUUAAGGCCCAAAGGAGAGGGGUGGCCGGCCAUCUUAUGGCCCAAGCCCACAAAAUUAAUAAAUUUCCCAUGUGAUAAUUAAUAUAAAGGAUCAUUAAAUUGUCUUGAAACAUUUAGAAGUUUCAAGACAAUUGAGAAAGAGAGAAACAAGAGAAAGAAGAGCAAGAAUAAGAAGGCCAUUUUCGGCCAAGCUCUAGACCAAAAAAAAAAAAAAAAUUUUUUCUUUUCAAAAAUCAUUUUCUACCAAUUAAAGGGUCCUUUAUAACUUGGUGUAAUUAUUUUGGAAGAAAGAACACUUGUUUCUUCAAGUUGACAACUUGGUCAAGUGAAGAAGAUUGUAGAAAAAGAUUUUGGCGAACUUGAAACUUGAUUUUGGAGACGUGUAUGAAUCGGAAAAGGUCAACAGGUAGACAGAUUUGACUCUUAGAAGCUCCAUCAGCAGUACUGUGGCAGCGCUCCAGUUGUUCCGGAGCCUCAGUUUCUUGGUACUACUUUUGUGUACAUAUUCGGGCACGGUAGAACCGGUCCUUCUUGUAUAUGUAGAUGUACUUUGUUUAGAGGCUCGUAGACAGAUAUGUACAGUCAGAUGUUUUGUACUUUUGUGGUCCUCGUCGUUGUAUAAUGUGCUAGCAAAGUUUAUAAGUCCAUGUCUACAAUUAUGCCAUUAAUGUUAGCGUUAAGCAACAG